UGUAGGUUUGUGAGUUUGAGAUGAGGGGAGGGGACUAAAGGUGAUGUCUAGUGUCAGUAAGGCUGCGUUUGUCACUGUGUUUCAGGAUGAGUGUAGGUUUGUGAGUUUGAGAUGAGGAGAGGGAACUAAAGGUGAUGUCUAGUGUCUGUAAGGCUGUGUUUGUCACUGUGUUUCAGGACGAGUGUAGGUUUGUGAGUUUGAGAUGAGGGGAGGGGACUAGAGGUGAUGUCUAGUGUCAGUAAGGCUGUGUGUUUGUCACUGUGUUUCAGGAUGAGUGUAGGUUUGAGAUGAGGGAAGGGGACUAGAGGUGAUGUCUAGUGUCAGUAAGGCUGUGUGUUUGUCACUAUGUUUCAGGACGAGUGUAGGUUUGUGAGUUUGAGAUGAGGGAAGGGGACUAGAGUUGAUGUCUAGUCUCAGUAAGGCUGUGUGUUUGUCACUGUGUUUCAGGACGAAUGUAGGUUUGAGAUGCGGGAAGGGGACUAGAGGUGAUGUCUAGUGUCAGUAAGGCUGUGUGUCUGUCACUGUGUUUCA